GAGACGGCAGACUCCCGCAGCCAGUCUCACUCGUGUGGGAGCUGAGGCCUGGUCGGGCCUACGGGGCCUGUUGUUUCUGCUGAUCCAGGGCCUGGUAGUGUGGUGGCGGCGUUUGGCGCGAUUGCGCUCUCUCCAGGAAAGUAUUAAGGUUUUCUUUGGCUAGUUCUUUAUUGACUGUAUAUACCUGGGUUUUUUUGGUUGAUUGGUUUUUGGUUUUUUGUUUUGUUUUGUUUUGUCUCUUUUCCCUUUCCCUUUGGGGGUGUUGGGAGUUUCUUUCUUAUGUAUAUGUAGUCUUUGUAAUUGUAUAUAAAUGUAAUAUAAGUGUAAAUAUAUUUAUAUAUUGCUUUAGCUCUCUUAUUUUGGGUCUCUUGGUUGAUUUUUUUCCUCUUUUCCCUUGACUUUUGUCGGAGGCGGGGGGAGGCUUUUGCUGUAGUAUCGGGGACUUGGCAGGGAGCCAGCUCCAAACCACCACACCUGACUAGGGAGGGCAGCAUAUUGCUGAUUUUUUUGGUUAAGGGCUCGCAUGGGUAUAUUGGUAUUCAUGUUUUUCUCUUCUAUUUGGUUACUAUACAUUCUGCAGCUGAACCUGUUCUUUUCUGUGUUGCAAAUUUUUAAUGGUCCUAAUAAUCCACUGUCAAUUAUCACUACACAAAGUUUUAUUUUCAUGUCUAUUUUUUUUAAAUAUUCUUAAAAAUCCACUAAGUUUAAUUAUCAGAUUUUGGUUUUGGAAACCUUUCAAUAAAUUGGACGGAAAUUCAAAUACAGGAAGUUUUAUGGAUUUUUCAACUCUUUUUCUGUUUGUUUUUAAUAAUUUUAACUUUUUAAAAACCUUAGGCAAGCAGUGCUACUUGAAAUGGUUAAAUAUUGAUAAAUAUGAUGAGUGUGGAGAAUAUUCUUCUACAGCAUUGUCUAUAAUGGGAAUCAGCAAUAUCUGAAUGCCUGAAUUGGUGUAGGACAUUAAAAAAUUGAACCAAAGUGACUCUUGUCUGGGGUUAAUCUCUGAGAUUCCACAGAAUAUGGAUGCUUGUUAGUCAAAAAUAAAUUGUAAAAUACAAUUUUUUUGGCUGAGGAAGAGGAAAAAUAGUUAAUGGACUUGUGAAUUAUAUGUCAGAUAAAUAUAUAUUCAGCGGUAUUCCAGCCUGCUAAUUUGGCUUUGCAAAAUUCUGGCAAACAUGCAUGUCAGACUUAAAAAACCCCCACAAACAUCUUUUAAAAGUAUCCAAAGAGAUCACAGAGCCAUCAACCUAUAGUGUGCAUUUCAAGCAGGGAACAUUUGGAUUCUAUAUAACCAAUUCUUGUAUUGUCUCUGCUGUGUAGCAGACACCACAUUUGAUUUACUACUGUUUUUAUUAAAAUAAAAAUCGCACUUUGAUAAAUAUUAUAUCAGACUAGGUAUUAUCCCAGACAUAUUUUAUUUUUUAGUCUUUGCUACCUCUUCAAAUUUUGGCACAAAACAGGAGGAUAUAACAGACUAUAAAGAAAAAGUUACAGAGGGUCUUCAAGUUUGUGAUGAGUGAGAAGGCUGUCCCAGUUAUUAGUGCUACCUAGACAUUCAAAAAUUGACAGGAAUAAUCUCAAAUCCAGGAAGGGUCUGUCACAGCAUUUAUGGUAAAAGGUCAUGAGUAAAUUUUGUUUCCACUCCUUUAAGCUAGAUUUAUCCAGCAGAUUGUUACUAUUGAAACUUUAUGUUGUUUUUUUGAACUUUGAAAUAACUUCAUAUAGUGAAAGGUUCCAAUGCACAAUGACAUGUUAUUGAGCAACACUGAACUCCAUACCAAGUCCCUAGGAGAGCCUGGGAGAAGAUAGACAGAAAUCAAGAAAAAAAGAGGAGCCAUGUGACAGAAGAGGAACCCCAUCUGUUAAAAAAAGGCAGCUGAGAGUGGAGCACGAGCUGCGAUGGGCCCUUACUUACAUCCCAGGGAUCUCAGGGAGACUGGAAACAAGAAUCAAAUAAUUUGAUAGAAAAAUCUGGCAAAGUAGAGUAGGUGCAUCUUGACCACCCCUUCUCCAGGAGAUUGACUAGACUCAAGAAUUAGUGUAGAGUUUUGUAUGGUGGAAGGAUUAGGUUUUUAUAGUGGCCUUGCUGAUCUGAAUUGUCUGUACAAUGUACAAAAUACAAAGUAUAUAUGUAGAAGAUGUUUUUAAAAAAGUGAAAGGAUAUGCCUGAAAGAUGUUUUUUUUUCAGUGUAAUGGAAGAGAUUAAUGCUGAGUUAGUUUUUAAAAUGGAUUUAAACACAGAAACAUAACAAUUUCUAUACUAGAUCACACCCUUAAAUUUUAGUCUAUUUAAUUCAGUAUUUAGCUUUAACAAGGGAGUGGUCAGUAUCAGACAUGUUGGAGAGCAGACCAUCUAUGCAAUAAUAUGCAAGGAAUUUCCUAGCUCAUAUCAAUAAGUCACUUGUACUGUGAUGGGUGAGUUUUUGAUUUUUGUUUUUAAUUUAAUAUAACUACCAGUCUGCUGUCUAUUUGAUAUGGCUGUUGAGAAGAGGCUGAGUUACAGUCCUGUGCCUAGUCUGGGAUCUCGUUUUAUUUAUUAGCCAAAGCACAUUACCUUAAACUGAUUAUUUUGUGCUGCUGUGUGAUAAAGUAACUUUCUACAGUUUAUUAUAUUAAUAUGUGUUUGACUGGUUUCUGGUUUUGCCUUAAUUUCAGCAUUGCCAAUGUAAUUUUAAGAUUAUUUUAAGAACGUAUAAUCUCACAAAAUAAAAGAUGUUAAAAUUUAAUUUAUGUUUCCUCUUUGGCUUGAUGGUACCUAUUGGCAAUGAACUCCCCUAUGUUACGUACUAUGGGAAGAAAACAAAUUUAUUAACAGCUUGAAUCUUGCUCUUUGGUUUUGCUGAAAGUCCACUAAGACAUGAAAGGACAUGGAAUAUUUUUGUACCUUUGUGCUUAUUACUUUGACUCCCCUCUCUCCUAAAAUGACUUUUACUUUUAAUAUCUCUUGUCAAUAAUUUCUGUAUUUCUUUGAAUAUAUGUGUAGUUCUGUUGUUUGAAACAAGAAUGUGUUUUAUCCUCCCCAGAAACUACCUGAAAGGUGGUGUCUAGUCCGAGACAGUAAUUUAGGAUCUCUCAGUAGGAAGACUGAAAUCUACGGAGAAUCUCACUGCACUGUAAGAUGAGUGUUUGAAAUAAAUCAGACAAUUCCCAUCCUCAA